UACAGAGGUCUCAAGCGUUGUUCGGAAUCACUGGGCGUAAAGGGUGCGUAGGCCGCACGGUAAGUCAGAGGUGAAAUCCCGGAGCUCAACUCCGGAAUGGCCUCCGAUACUGCCGUGCUCGAGGACUGGAGAGGAGAUUGGAAUUCACAGUGGAGCAGUGAAAUGCGUAGAUAUUGUGAGGAACACUAGUGGCGAAGGCGAAUCUCUGGACAGUUCCUGACGCUGAGGCACGAAGGCCAGGGGAGCAAACGGG
rnacentral:rRNA from 1 species